CGCCUGUUUAUCAAAAACAUCGCCUCUUGCUAACCCUGUAUAAGAGGUCCCGCCUGCCCAGUGACCCCUAAGUUCAACGGCCGCGGUAUUUUGACCGCGCGAAGGUAGCGCAAUCACUUGUCCCUUAAAUGAGGACCUGUAUGAAUGGCAUAACGAGGGCUUAACUGUCUCCUUUUCUCAGUCAAUGAAAUUGAACUUCCCGUGCAGAAGCGGGAAUCCAAACAUAAGACGAGAAGACCCUAUGGAGCUUUAGACUUUACAACAGAUCAUUUCAACUACUCCCACUAAAGGAAGUAAUAACUAUUGAACCCUGUCCCCUGUCUUCGGUUGGGGCGACCACGGGGAAGAAAAAAUCCCCCACGUGGACCAGAAGUACCCCUAAUUACUUCCACAGCUACGAGCCACAGCUCUAAUGCACAGAAUCUCUGACCUUGAGAUCCGGCAGAGCCGAUCAACGGACCAAGUUACCCUAGGGAUAACAGCGCAAUCCCCUUUAAGAGUCCCUAUCGCCAAGGGGGUUUACGACCUCGAUGUUGGAUCAAGACAUCCUAAUGGUGCAACCGCUAUUAAGGGUUCGUUUGUUCAACGAUUAAAGUCUUACGUGAUCUGA
rnacentral:rRNA from 1 species